AUCUGCAACAGCACAGCAUUACAAUCAGAAACAUUGAGCCCUGAAACAAAAGGAGACAAAUUGUAUAUGCUACACAGAACUUAUAUUAAUCUUAGCAAAACAUUGGUGUUGGUACAUGCCAACAGGACAAGACAUGGGAUGAAUAUAGAGCAUUGAACCAAAUUGUAUCUGCGAUGCACAAGUUACAUACAAAAGGGUACAUUAAUCUUGGCAUGAACUCAUGAAAAUAUUUGGCAUCUGGAGGAAGAUAGGACAAGACACAGAGGAAAGCAUUGAAGACAUUAGGGAAGACAUCAAAUCUCCUCAGUCUCUCUCGUUACAUGUCAAUUAAAUGAAACUGUGAGGAUGAACAGUAUCUGCUAUACAGGAGCAGAACAGAACGUAUCGUGCACAUUAUCACAUGUACAAAGAUGUGAGAUUGUUUUCAGCUUCGUAAAUCUAAUUUAUGAUACAUGCCAUAUCUUUAGCAAGAUGGAUCUGAAUAACCCAUACAUCAGUUAUAAAAUAUACUCACGAGUCGUCUUGAUGCUCUGGAGAGAUCUAACAUUAGGUUAUAAAAUAUACUCACGAGUCGUCUUGAUGCUCUGGAGAGAUCUAACAUUAGGUUAUAAAAUAUACUCACGAGUCGUCUUGAUGCUCUGGAGAGAUCUAACAUUAGGUUAUAAAAUAUACUCACGAGUCGUCUUGAUGCUCUGGAGAGAUUUAACAUUAGGUUAUAAAAUAUACUCACGAGUCGUCUUGAUGCUCUGGAGAGAUCUAACAUUAGUCUAUAAAAUAUACUCACGAGUCGUCUUGAUGCUCUGGAGAGCUUUUACAAUGGGGUCAUAUUUUCGGUUUUCACUGAGAGAUUCCUGACAAGUGGUACAAAAAUAAGAAUCAUGACUCAAGCAUACAGGGCCUUCAGAGAGUAUUCACACCCCUUGACCUUAUCCACACUUUGCUGUGUUACAGCCUGAAUUGAAAAACGGAUUUACAUUUAGAUGUUGUGUCACUGGCCUAUGCAUAAUACCCCAUAAUGUCAAAGUGGAAUUCAGUUUUUCGAUUUCAUUUAAUUAAUAAUACAUUU